UUUAUUUCCUCUUAUGGUUGACAUUGUUGUUAUGUACAGUCAGCUGACAAGGCCAGGUGGCAGACCUUUGAGGAGCUUAAGAACACCCAGUUUGAACUGGAGAAAAAGACUGCGGAGAUCAGAAACCUGCGGAGAGAGUUUGAUGACAGACUCAGGGAAGAGAAUCAGAGUAAAAAGAAAUGCCUGCAGACCCUGAAGGAGGAGCUGGAGACCAAGAACAAGGAGCUUUGUGAGUCCAAGCUUCAGUUCGAAUCUCUCAUGAAGAAGAAUCAGGAGUUUCAGACACAGCUGACUGAACUUAGAGAGGUGCACAAGCAGGUGUUAGAGAAGAUGGUCGAGGAUGAGCAGGAGAGGAGGGAGGAAGUAGAGAAGGAAGUGGAGACCCUGAAGAUGGAGCUGCAGAAGAAGAAGGACG